GCUGUUGCUAUGGUAACUGGGAUGUGCUAGGAAUCCUUGCUGCAUUUCCAGUGGAGGCUGAGACAAUACGGAAGCCCUCUGGAGAAGAAAAUUCUGUUUA